UACGUAGGGGACAAGCGUUGUCCGGAAUUAUUGGGCGUAAAGCGCGUGUAGGCGGCCAAGUAAGUCUUACGUGAAAUCCUGAGGCUCAACCUCAGCCUGCGCGGGAUACUGCUUGGCUAGAGUCCGGAAGAGGAGGAGUGGAAUUCCGUGGUGUAGCGGUGGAAUGCGCAGAUAUCAGGAGGAACAUCCGUGGCGAAGGCGGCUCUCGUGG
rnacentral:rRNA from 1 species